GGAUGGGAGGGCCACCUGGCUGCAAUAUCUGUCACCCCAUGGAUCGCCAGGGUUGGUUUGAUUGAUCUGGCUGGUUAGGUUGGGGUACCGCCCUUCCCCCCUGCCCAACCACCCCAAAGCAGGAGCACUGCUCCUCUGCCAGGGGUGUAGGAGCAGCUGGGCUCCCUGCUGAAACUUCCAAACAAGCUCUCAAAAGGUAAAUAGUUCAAAAAAAUCCAACCAACCAGACAAACAAACAAACAAAAAACAGAAAUAAUU
ensembl:misc_RNA 7SK 7SK RNA